rnacentral:rRNA from 1 species
CAGUAGCCGCGGUAAUACAGAGGGUGCGAGCGUUAAUCAGAUUUACUGGGCGUAAAGCGUGCGUAGGCGGCUUUUUAAGUCGGAUGUGAAAUCCCUGAGCUUAACUUAGGAAUUGCAUUCGAUACUGGGAAGCUAGAGUAUGGGAGAGGAUGGUAGAAUUCCAGGUGUAGCGGUGAAAUGCGUAGAGAUCUGGAGGAAUACCGAUGGCGAAGGCAGCCAUCUGGCCUAAUACUGACGCUGAGGUACGAAAGCAUGGGGAGCAAACAGGAUUAGAUACCCCCGUAGUCCCUGUCUCUUAUAC